rnacentral:rRNA from 1 species
GACGAACGCUGGCGGCGUGCUUAACACAUGCAAGUCGAACGAAGUGGCGAACGGGUGAGUAACGCGUAAUCAACCUGCCCUUCAGAGGGGGACCACAGUUGGAAACGACUGCUAAUACCGCAUACUGAAGGUGGGGAUUGCGUCUGAUUAGCUAGUUGGAGGGGUAACGGCCCAACAAGGCGAUGAUCAGUAGCCGGUCCGAGAGGGUGAACGGCCAAAUUGGGACUGAGACACGGCCCAGACUCCUACGGGAGGCAGCAGUGGGGAAAUGUCCGCAAUGGACGGAAGUCUGACGGGGCAACGCCGCGUGAGUGAUGACGGCCUUCGGGUUGGAAAGCUCUGUUAAUCGGGACGCGGUACCGGAAUAGAAAGCCACGGCUAACUACGUGCCAGCAGCCGCGGUAAUAC